AGUGGGAGGUCGCAGGGCUGGCGGGGCAGGGAGAGCGCGAGCAGAAGAAAAGAAGAAACAAUGACAAGGAGAAACAGUUUGUGGCUGCAGCGGCCUUCCAGGGUCCCGCCAGACUUGAGCUCGUAGAACCCUGAAGCAGGCCCGGAAGGUAGCGAGUCUCCUUUCUCAGAAAGCUGGCGCCCAGAGAGAGCCCCUGGCAGGUCGCUUGCUCGCCCUGAAUCUCUAGUGCCCCUCAGCAAUGAGCAGAGAAGCGUCUGGAAGGCUUCGCCGAGGAGGUGGCUCUGGCUCAGUCCAUCACGCAGCCUUGUGACCCAGCUUGUAACAUUCCAAGCUGUUAUCUAAGCUUUCUGUUGUCCUUUAGUUUCUUGCCCAGCGUGACUGGUCUCACUGACUAGUUAGCUGUUCUGGGGGCAGAACCCACUCGAAAGCCUCGUACCUCCCAGGCCCCUCGGCAUAUUGUGGUUCAUUCAUCCAGUCCCCAAAUGUUUAGGGGCAGUCUCCACUAAGCCAGGCUGGGACCUAGUGGAGAACCUGGUGGGCUUGCCCUUCCCAAAUGCUCCCAGCUCAAGACCACCAGGUGGAGAAGCAGACAGGGACACAGGCAGCGACAAAUCUAUGGGUAAGAGUUGUAACAGGGGAUAAGAGGCACCUGACAUGGGUUGGGGCGCAGACUCAGAAAGUCUCGAACAAAGGGAGCCAAGCCAUCCACAGGAUGCGUGCCCUGAGUCACGCAGGGUCCAGGCAUAGGGAGCUGCCAGAGACCUGGUGGCUGGAGAUCGUGGUGCCCGCAGAAAGUUUCAGGCAACUACAUCUGGCUGUACUGUGGCAGUUGGAGAGAGGGGCAAGAGAUGGGGCUGGAAAGGCCAGAUCUCCCAGAGUCUUGUAAGACCGUAAGGAGGAAGCCACGGACACGCGUUGAGAUGGAGAGUGUCCUGGUCAGAUUUGCUUUAUUUUUUAUUUAUUUAUUU
rnacentral:lncRNA from 1 species